UGUGAGCCAGCUCCUCUUAAAUGAAUUAGCUUGCCGGUGUUUGGUGGCGUCACAGGUGUGAUAACUAUCUACGCUUGUGGUUUCCCACCAGGUAACCUUCAGCAAUGGAGGUUCACUGGAGCUUAUAAAUGUCUCUCCUCAGCGAGGACACAUUUUGACCAUUUGAUCUCAAAUCAGGUAGGACUACCCGCUGAACUUAA
rnacentral:misc_RNA from 1 species